rnacentral:snoRNA from 2 species
AGACCAUGAUGAGGGUAUUUCCUCAAUAGCUUCUUGAAUCUUUCCUAAGUUUCAUAUAAGGAUUCCCCGUCCUCUUGUGAAUAUGUAUUUAUUUCUGUCAUU